GGAAAAACUAAAAUAUAAGAUUAAUAAAAUUUACAGAAUACCAACAAAAUUUACAAGUUAUUUACUUACUUUUGAUUUAUGUUGAUGAUUUAUAGUAAAAUAGAAACAAAAUUCAAAAUCGAUGUACCAUAUUUCUUAACAAUUUCCAAGACCAGUUCAGUAAAUCGAAUCUCUAUUUAAGUAUUAAACUUACCCUCGGUCAUUGCUUAGUAAAAAGGAUGUAAUGCAAUUUAAAGAAUUUGGAAAAAUAAUCAUGGAGCCUUUUAAGCACGCAAAACUUUUCCAUUGAAUUGGCUACACAAACCGCAUCCAACAUUCUUGAUACCCUCGAAAACUACAAUAUAUUAGAAUGCCAGCCGGUAAAUAUUUUCAUUUUACGCUGACGUUGUGUGGCAACUGUAAAAUUUUAUGCAACACACAUACGUGGCAAUGGCAACGCCAACGUGACGAGGACGAACCGAGUCCUGCCUGCGAAUAAAUUUCUCACCCGGCCGCAAGCUGCCCCCAGCACUGAGUUCCCAGAACUUCCACCUUCCCAUUUUGUUCCCAGCUGCUGCUGCUGCUGCUGCUGCUGCUUUUGCUUUUGCUACUGCUGACGACUACUUCUCCUGUUGCCAGUUCAGUGUCAGUGUGUCAAGCAGCGUGCGAUGUGGAAUAAUUUGCAAAAUGUCAUUAUUAGUUUGGAUUUUGCGCAGCAGCAACUAAGCAGAAGCAGAAGCAGAAGACAUUGAAUAAGUCGGGAGUGGAGAAGAGAUGUGGAACCGAAGCUAUCCACAGGACAAACGGGCACGUUCCUGGCUGACUGAAUGCCUGCCUCUGGAUAUAUGCGAUCCAAUGAAACUGCGUUCCCACAACCUCACUCGUAUAUCAUCAUCAACGCUGAGACAAGCUUACGUCCUUGCUUCUGCGUGUGCGUGUGCGUGUAUGUGUGUGUGUGUGUUGCUUUUAUUGUUCAUCUGAAGGACACGUAGCCGGCGUCGUUUGUGCCGUUAUGCCAUACGCAUAAGCAAACACGCCCAGCAAAAGAGAAACAAUGAAAUUGGCUUGAGGUAGAUGUAGAUGCUGAUGCUGAUGCUGAUGCACAAACUAAGGCAAAUCAUUAGGCAAGCAAUGUAAAUGAAAUUAACAUACUUCUAUCCCGACGCGGGCCUAAUUCAUGCAAAGGACAGCUGGGAUAAGUCCAAUGAUGGAUUGCAGCACAAACAGCGGACGGGAGUAAGCCCUAAUGCAAAGUGAAAAGUAAAAAGGUAAAAUUGAAUUUGUUUGUUGAUUAAACUUAAGGCCUGGGAUAAAGACCUGAAUACAAAUCAAAUAACAUUAUUCAAAAUCGGAUCAAACAGGUGAAUAAUCGAUUUCAGUUUGUCUGCAAAAGUUAAUUAAAAAGAUAUCAAGCAAGUAAAGCAAAAUGUUUCUAUAUUAUUACUUUAUAUCAAUCAAAUCUCUUCUCCGCUGUCUACAAUUUUUAUAAAUCACCUCACCGAAUAUACAGGUUAAUAAUUGAAAAGCGAGCGUCUUGAUUUUUGGCAUAUUUUGUACUCUUUGGCAAAUUUUAAAUGUAUAUACAGGCAUAAUAAAUAUAACUUUAGUAUAGUUUAGUAUACUUCGAUUUUCAUACUUCUCUUUAGAGACUUUAAGGAAAAAGCAGCCAAAUAAAGUCACGGAAUCUUGGCCAGAACAUUAUUUUGUACUGCUUCGUUUCGGUAGAAAUCCCGAAUGAAUUGUGAGCUUCUAAUAAAGAAAAUUAACUUUUGCUGAGAAAGUCAGAAAUGCCAAGCUCGUAAACUACACUCGGACACAUGCCUUUAUAUAGUAACUGACAACAAGUCAUAACGGCAUAACGUGCCGUGUCUGCUAUUCGUUAUUUGAUGAUAUACUGGAUCACGUUUUCCAGCCACCUGGUCAACUGGCUGUAUUACUAACUGGAAAUGAAAUUACGCAGAGCACUGAAUGCUGAAUUAAGAUGGAAGCAAAAAAAGAACAGAAAAAAAGCCCUGCCUGUCACUUAUACGUCUGUUACUUCGUCAGUCAAUCAGCUAGUCAGUCAGUUAGAAUGAAAGAGAAGGGGGCGUGUCUUAUGUCAACAUUGGCAUCUAAUAAAGCUUAUGGAGCGCAAAAUUGGAUUUGCAUACAUUAUUGGUUAACACAAGUGGAAAAGUAGGAAAUUUGGGCCCAAGUCACAUGGAAAAUGGAGCACACAAGUCACAAGCUCAGCUCUGUAAUGCGUUAAUGGAAAAUGCUUUUCACAUUUCCCCCCAAUUGACAGUGGUCCAAAAGAACGUUUAAUUCGAAUUUGUACUCAAUUGCAAAGCAAUCGGAAGUGCUUGAAAUGAGCUGGCAAAAUUAAAAAAUUUCACUACUCUACUUUUACAGAGGAGAAUUAAAUGAUAAUAAAUACA